rnacentral:tRNA from 1 species
CGUCGGCUGGCGCGGCAACGCGGCCACGACCGACGGCGCCGACGUCGGGCUCGACCUGACCGGCGGCUGGUUCGACGCCGGCGACCACGUC